rnacentral:rRNA from 1 species
AGUGAACGCUGGCGGUAGGCCUAACACAUGCAAGUCGAACGGCAGCACAGUAAGAGCUUGCUCUUACGGGUGGCGAGUGGCGGACGGGUGAGGAAUACAUCGGAAUCUACUUUUUCGUGGGGGAUAACGUAGGGAAACUUACGCUAAUACCGCAUACGACCUACGGGUGAAAGCAGGGGAUCUUCGGACCUUGCGUGAUUGAAUGAGCCGAUGUCGUAUUAGCUAGUUGGCGGGGUAAAGGCCCACCAAGUCGACGAUCCGUAGCUGGUCUGAGAGGAUGAUCAGCCACACGGGAACUGAGACACGGUCCAGACUCCUGCGGGAGGCAGCAGUGGGGAAUAUUGGACAAUGGGCGCAAGCCUGAUCCAGCCAUCCCGCGUGUGUGAAGAAGGCCUUCGGGUUGGAAAGCCCUUUUGUUGGGAAAGAAAAGCAGCAGGUUAAUACCCCGCUGUUCUGACGGUACCCAAAGAAUAAGCACCGGCUAACUUCGUG